AUAGUCCUGAUGUGUUCGUCGUAUAACCUAUUGUUUUGACCGAACAAUAAGUUAUACGGGAGCCCGGGGUUUCCAAGCGGCGUACAUGCCUCCCCGUGCGAGGAAGUGCAAACCUUGGGACAGGGCACCCACCUGCUUGGAGCGGGUUCAAAACGAAGGCAUCGACGGCACGAUUGGGACUGAC
rnacentral:other from 1 species